rnacentral:rRNA from 11 species
GGAUGCGAUCAUACCAGCGCUAAAGCACCGGAUCCCAUCAGAACUACGAGAGUAGUACUAGGAUGGGUGACCUCCUGGGAAGUCCUCGUGUUGCAUUCC